AAUAUUGGUCAAUGGAGGCAACUCUGCACCAGCCACGUCGCGUGAAGGAUGACGGCCCUACGGGUUGUAAGUUUCUUUUUUUCAGGAAUAAAGUGAGUCACGUGUGACUUUUUGCAUGUACUGUAUGCAUAAGUAUCGGCCAACUCCGUGCCAGCCGCCGCGGUAAUUCGGAGGAUCCAAGCGUUAUCCGGAUUUAUUGGGUUUAAAGGGUGCGCAGGCGGAGGAUUAAGUCGGCGGUGAAAUUUUGCAGCUCAACUGUAAAAGUGCCAUCGAUACUGGUUUUCUUGAGUGUGGAUGAAGUAGGCGGAAUUUGUGGUGUAGCGGUGAAAUGCAUAGAUAUCACGAGGAACUCCGAUUGCGCAGGCAGCUUACUAGGCCAUAACUGACGCUCAGGCACGAAGGCGUGGGGAUCAAACA
rnacentral:rRNA from 1 species